GACGAACGCUGGCGGCGUGCCUAAUACAUGCCAGUCGAACGCUUCUUUCCUCCCGAGUGCUUGCACUCAAUUGGAAAGAGGAGUUGCGGACGGGUGAGUAACACGUGGGUAACCUACCCAUCAGAGGGGGAUAACACUUGGAAACAGGUGCUAAUACCGCAUAACAGUUUAUGCCGCAUGGCAUAAGAGUGAAAGGCGCUUUCGGGUGUCGUUGAUGGAUGGACCCGCGGUGCAUUAGCUAGUUGGUGAGGUAACGGCUCACCAAGGCCACGAUGCAUAGCCGACCUGAGAGGGUGAUCGGCCACACUGGAACUGAGACACGGCCCAGACUCCUACGGGAGGCAGCAGUAGGGAAUCUUCGGCAAUGGACGAAAGUCUGACCGAGCAACGCCGCGUGUGUGAAGAAGGUUUUCGGAUCGUAAAACUCUGUUGUUAGAGAAGAACAAGGACGUUAGUAACUGAACGUCCCCUGACGGUAUCUAACCAGAAAGCCACGGCUAACUACGUG
rnacentral:rRNA from 1 species